CGGGGCUGGCCCGGACUGAUUGCACGCACCUGAUCCUCGUUGGUGUCAAUUACCUGGCCUUAUAUGCCAGCUCCUCUGUCAACUCAGUGCCGGAUGAUUUCCCAGUCAUGCAACACGUGUCUUGCCACGCCAAGCUCCCUGAUCUCCCACACAUGUAUCCAGCCUAUCUCAGUGUUUGUUUGUGAGUUCCUUUUUUACUUUUCAGAGUUUUACCCUUGAGCAAAGGUGAUUUUGUGUUCGAGUUUUUACCUCCAGUUGAGAAGAUUUUUUGGUUUAAUAUUUCUGUUGUACUUUAUCUUUUUACAUCCUUAGUUGUUACUUGCCCCACGUGGCACUAUCAUUUGAACUUUGUUUUUUCACCAGCUAUUUUGUCUUGCUGCAGUGACUAUCUCCUAACCCUGGUUUCGUAUUUUUUUUAGUGGCAGUCCGAGCUCACCGUGCCUUUUCCCGGAAACAGCGAUUUUCUGUUGUUCACCUUGAUCUAUUGUUUAUUGUCAAUAAAUUUGGGCAUUUGCCUCUGCAUUUUUGGCUCCUGGCCUUUGUACGAUUCAUAACACUUUUUUUUUUAUUUUUAUUUAUUUAUUUUUUUUCAGUAUGAAAUCAAAGUUGCAGAAACCAGAGCCUCUCCUAACAACAGGAAAAAAAGAUUCGUCUUUGACUCACAGAUGCUUCAGCAGCCGCCCUGAACGCUGGAGGAAGAAUCUACAUAAACCACCUGUGCCUGGAUUACUGCACACUGUUCCUACAAAUUAACCACUGUAAAACGAGACGCCCUGCAAAGCAAUAAUCCAGACAGUAAUCAGCCGAACAGCAGUGACAUCAUCAUACUCAAACACUGACUGCUGCACAUGCCCGGGGUUUGAAUGGAUCAAUAAAGAAGAUCUGACUCUGUAAAACCAGCAACAAAAAAUACAAUCUCCACCCUCAACAGUUUUACAGCCGGAUGAAUAAAAUAAGCUGUGGCACAGGAUCCUGCAGCAGAGUAGGGUGAUAGUCAGAGAGGUACACAUGCAUGUUUUUUCCUUCUUUACUAUCUAUUUAUUUUUACCUACUUGUUUUUCUGCUUCAGCUCUAAAAGACUGAAUUUAAAACCACAAACCAAGUACAAGCUCUUCAAUAGAUGUGGAUGAUUGCUCUGAAAACCAGACACGAAAAAAUUCAACGGGCAGAAAUCAACAGAGACCAAAUCCCACACACACACACACACAAAAAAAAAACUCAUUUAAAA